rnacentral:lncRNA from 1 species
ACCCCAGGUACCCCACCUCUCCAGAAUUGGGAAGAGAUAAGGCUGAGUGGAUUACCUGACUGGAGGGUUGACUCCACCCCAAAAAGAAAAAGACAGACCAACACCAGGCGUGAAGAUGGUCCAAGUGCUUGCCCAGUCUGAGUCUGACUUGACCUGGGCACCUCAAUGAAUCAGGAAUAGAAUCUAACAGGAACAAAGCCAUGGACCCUUGUUCAGUUACUAGACCACGGAACAAAACCCAGCAGUAACAACUCUAUUCCUGGUUCGGCCCCAAGGCUGAGCUUGCCCAAGGCAGCAGCAGGACACAUAACUUCCCAAGCACGGCAGUGUGCCCCCACUUGCUCCUACCACGGGGAAGAGAUGAGAAAUGCUGACCUUGGCUGAUCACAGUGCAUUUUCACUGUGGAUCUGCACAGCGUAAUUUAGCACAGG